AAUAUAAAUCAAUUUUAACAAAACAAAUUUUAUCUGUAGGAAAAUUGCCUCUAAAAUAAUGCCAGGUAGCUGGAAGGAACCACGGAAGAAGGUAAUGUAAAUAUAAAUAUGUUUUGCUAGUAUAAGACAAAAAACACACACAUCUCCUUUACUAAUCACCUCGUAAAAUGAUAGAAUCUACCCAAACAGAUUGACAGCCUGGACUGUAGAAUCUUCAUGCUCAUGUAUGCUCUCUACAUUGCCAUUGGAAGUGCAUUUGAUUUCAGUCAUGUCAGUGGUUUAAGUGUAAUAUUUGUUUGAAUAUUGUGAUUUUUUUUAUUCAUAGAAUUUAUUGUAAUUUCCUGGUUUACAAUUUUUAGGAAGAAAUGCCACAAAUUAGAAGAUGGUGGUGUCUUCUCUUACUUCGCAAAGCCAGCAUGAAAAGGUGUGUAACUUUUCAAACUUUUUUUAAGGGAAGAACAGUUAUAAGAAUUUGUCAACUUACAGUAUUUCUAAAAAAAAAUGUAUCUUCCUGCCAAGACAGCGGUCUUCAAUUUCCACAUGAGACAUUCUGUGUACCACAGGUAAUGCUUCAUAAUUAGCAGUUGAAAAGUUUUCUGACACUAAUUUUAUAUAUUAGAACUUCACAAAAAGACUUUGACCAACAGGUCACACAGCAGGUCUCCAGUGAGGCCUUCACUGACUUGUGUCGUCCUUCAGCCCUGUGUUGUGUCAGUGGCAUUAUGGGGACAGAGAAUAGUGGUCUUAAAAAUGAGGGUUUUGAGUGCUCUAACUGAUUUAUUAAAUGGCAAUUAUUUCUGCUUCCAGCAAUUCCAGACAAGAUAGGAAAGAGCAAGAACUUUUCUCCCCCACCUUUCUUUUCCAUUACUGAAGCAUAUGAAAAUGUUGACUAAAUUAUUUAUGCCAGUACAAUUAAUAGUAUAACAUUUACUUUACUGUUCCUAAAAUGUAGGUAAUAAAUGGCUUCAUAGAGUUGCUUUUGUGGAGUGUAACAUUUUGACUGUUUUCCUUGUUCUUCAAAGAUCAGUUUCAUCUGUGGCAUUAGGUAGCAUUAACUGAAUUUGCAGAAAUCAACCAAUCUAGAAUGGAGUGAUUGUUUGCUUCAGGUAAACACUUUGCAUUAUGUAUAACUUUUUACAUGUAGCAUUUCUGUUGUAAUAUGUUUGGGUGAAUGUUUCAGCAGUUUUUAAAGCAUGCUUACUAAACUGGGAACAAUUAAAUUACAUAUCAUUUGAAAU